UAGAGCGUGGCCUAAUAAUAAGCUCACUUCCGAUUCAUAGAGCGCCGCGAGUGUAUUAUGCGCUUGUCGCGCGUCAGCUUCCACGGACAAGCCGCCUUUCCCUCUUUCUGUACCAGAAAUCUUAUCGAUUUUAUCUUCGACUGCCAGCGAGGAGCGCGGAGAAGGGCACGUAGUGGACAGAUGAGCCAUUGUUGUCUUCUGGAUUCGUCGUGUUCGCGUCCAAGGUACGUUACAAACGAGGGGAGUUGAAAGGCUUUGGGAUGAAGAUAACCAGUCGUCGAACGUGUUUACGGCAAUUGAUCCCGACGUCGAUGAUGGUUCGUGGAACUGUCGUUUGGCUUGAGAGGCGAAAUUGGGGAGGUACACGUGUUUGAAGAAGUUCCGUGGCUCUUUAACGGCCAGUGAUUUACGAAUACGAAAGAAAAGGCCACUCGAGCUUUCGAGAGGAAAGGUUCAACGAGGAAGAUUUAGGAAACAGAAGUAGACGGAGCGGCUCAAAAUUCGAUAUUUCUUCUUCUAUCGUAAUCCGAAGAACACGAUGCAAAACGAAGAUUUAGGAAUAGGAAAUAUUUCAAGGAAAAACACAAAAUUAUCGGGCGGGCAAAUUUUUAGAAACUACCAAAUCUUCCAGCUACAUAGCGGUAGAGUAAAUCUUCGAUAAUCCGAACGUGUCAUUCUCGAACGUGACUUAUUAUCUUCCACCGUCGCUCGAAUCGAUAUCUCUAGCUACAGGCACAAAUCCGAAGAUCUUCGUCGAACAGGAAAAAGAUAUUUUGAAAAACAAUCGUGAAGAUAAAUAUCGAUAAAUCAUUGAAAAGAUAGAGUCAAAAAUAGUAACUGGAAAAAUAAUGCUAAAAAUGUAACCGAUAUCGCUAAAAUAUUCAGAAGUCUGUUUAAGAAUAUUUAUAAGUAAAAAAAAUUCACGAAAGCGUUCGAGAGACACGUAUAAAGAACGUAUGCAAAUUUCAGGCCAGUUUCGAGCGAACUGCAGCUCCUUUUCUCUUAAUUAUUUCGCAUUUGUAGAGAUUAUUUAAGAGCCGAACACUUUUUCCAACGUCUACAAAAGAGAUAUAGUUGCAAUUAAAUGUAAUUAUUAAAAUUCAACGAGCGAAACUUCUCCAUUUUAUUUUGUUUAUGAUGUUUAUUCGUAUCUCGUAUAUUUAUCUGCUACAUUUCAUUCGGAUUAAACGACCUAACUUUC